ACGUAGGGGGCAAGCGUUGUCCGGAAUUACUGGGCGUAAAGGGUGCGUAGGCGGUUUAAUAAGUUAGAUGUGAAAUCCCCGGGCUUAACUUGGGAGUGGCAUUUAAAACUGUUAAACUAGAGUGCAGGAGAGGAAAGCGGAAUUCCUAGUGUAGCGGUGAAAUGCGUAGAUAUUAGGAGGAACACCAGUGGCGAAGGCGGCUUUCUGGACUGUAACUGACGCUGAGGCACGAAAGCGUGGGGAGCAAACAG
rnacentral:rRNA from 1 species